rnacentral:sRNA from 1 species
AGUACUUUAAAAAAAACAUCACGGGACGGGUAAAGAAAUUACAGAACGGGUUUUAUUUUGGAAUUGGAUUAUAUGGUGGAUGUAUUUGAAUAAAUAUUUAUA